GAAGCCUUCCGACUUCUCAGUCGCUGGAUCAUUGUCAGCCGUCAGCUCGCCCUCCACACAGCCAUCUUACCUGUCCGUCCUCCCACGGUCCUUGGUUCUCCUCGCCGCCUCCAGAUUCCCGUCUGCUCCAAUAAGUCACUCACCCAGCUCUAAAUGGCUACUCUGGUGGUACCGAUCCUGAUUUCUGCUCCACACUCACUCCCUUUCCCCAUCCCCUUUACAAUAAACCAUAUUAUUGUUUUGAAAUACGC